UCUCCUGAUUUUGCCGACGAUAUGCGCU
rnacentral:sRNA from 1 species